rnacentral:rRNA from 1 species
UACCGAGGUCUCAAGCGUUGUUCGGAUUCAUUGGGCGUAAAGGGUGCGUAGGCGGCGCGGUAAGUCGGGUGUGAAAUCUCGGGGCUUAACUCCGAAACUGCAUUCGAUACUGCCGUGCUUGAGGACUGGAGAGGAGACUGGAAUUUACGGUGUAGCGGUGAAAUGCGUAGAUAUCGUAAGGAAGACCAGUGGCGAAGGCGGGUCUCUGGACAGUUCCUGACGCUGAGGCACGAAGGCCAGGGGAGCAAACGGG